CGAACGCUGGCGGCGUGCUUAACACAUGCAAGUCGAACGGAAAGGCCCUGCUUGCAGGGUACUCGAGUGGCGAACGGGUGAGUAACACGUGGGUGAUCCGCCCUGCACUUCGGGAUAAGCCUGGGAAACUGGGUCUAAUACCGGAUAGGAGCCAUUUUUAGUGUGAUGGUUGGAAAGUUUUUUCGGUGUAGGAUGAGCUCGCGGCCUAUCAGCUUGUUGGUGGGGUAAUGGCCUACCAAGGCGGCGACGGGUAGCCGGCCUGAGAGGGUGGACGGCCACAUUGGGACUGAGAUACGGCCCAGACUCCUACGGGAGGCAGCAGUGGGGAAUAUUGCACAAUGGGCGCAAGCCUGAUGCAGCGACGCCGCGUGGGGGAUGACGGCCUUCGGGUUGUAAACUCCUUUCGCUAGGGACGAAGCUUUUUGUGACGGUACCUAGAUAAGAAGCACCGGCUAACUACGUG
rnacentral:rRNA from 1 species